AUGUCAUACCCACUAGAUGCUCCAACAUACAUACCAAAAACCUUGUUUGUGAAGUACUUGGAUGACUAUGUAGAGCGUUUCAAUAUUCAACCCAAGUAUCUCACUAGUGUGGAGUCAUCCACAUUUGACGAUGACAAAAAAUGUUGGUCCAUCAUGGCACAUGACAUGGCAAAGAGCACAAUAGUCAGGUUCACAGCAAAGUUUCUUGUUGUGGCAAGUGGUGAGAAUAGUGCAGAGAAUAUUCCAAUGAUCCCCGGACUGCAAAGUUUUCCGGGUGAUGUCGUCCACUCCUCAAGCUACAAGUCAGGCAAGAGCUACUCUGGCAUGAAUGUAUUGGUCAUUGGAUCUGGCAACCCUGGAAUGGAAUUUGCUUAUGACCUUGCGGCCUAUGGUGCCAAUACUUCAGUCAUUAUACGAAGCCCGGGUAUAAAGCGAUAG
rnacentral:rRNA from 1 species